UCUCCAACUCUGCUUUUCUGCAAUUUUAAUCAAUUUAUGUUUGUAGGGUUUCAGUAACUUGGGAAUUUGCGAUUUUUGUCAAUGCAAAAUAAAAUUGCAUGAUAUUUCAAUUAUGUUGAGCCAGUGAGAAGGAUGGCCUGGGAAGGUUCAGAUGCUGGGAGACAAUCCAUUGGGUGCCCCAUAUGAGAUGACGAUGAAUGUGAUUUUGUGGGCAGUGGCUGCAAGAGAUCUCAACACAAUUGAGAUUGAACGACACGCUGUUGACUGUGCAAGAAAUCGAAAUGAAGCUUAAGUGAAUCAAUGGUAUGAACUGCACAAGGAGAGGAUGAUAGCUGACGGAGAGAGGAACAAGGACAUCACCAUGUUGCAGGCUCUGGAGAGUGGAGACGAAAAGGAGCGAUCAAUUUGAAAGGAUGGCGCUAUCACUACAGAUAAAACAACAAAUUUUGUUGGUGUCCAAUGUUAUGAUACUUGUACUGUUGAUCGUUCUUGCUUAAGUGACUGCUUGGGAAAAAUAGGAUGGUCGCUUUGUGAGAAUGCACCUGUAUGCCAGAGAAUGGUAUAUAAAACCUGAGUUCUUCACAUGUUCUUCACAUUUUAUUAGCCCUAAUUUCUUGACAAGACAAACAUGAUCAAAAAGCUAGAUUUAAUUCCUCA